rnacentral:rRNA from 1 species
AACAGGAUUAGAUACCCUGGUAGUCCACGCCGUAAACGAUGUCGACUUGGAGGUUGUUCCCUUGAGGAGUGGCUUCCGGAGCUAACGCGUUAAGUCGACCGCCUGGGGAGUACGGCCGCAAGGUUAAAACUCAAAUGAAUUGACGGGGGCCCGCACAAGCGGUGGAGCAUGUGGUUUAAUUCGAUGCAACGCGAAGAACCUUACCUGGUCUUGACAUCCACAGAACUUUCCAGAGAUGGAAAGGUGCCUUCGGGAACUGUGAGACAGGUGCUGCAUGGCUGUCGUCAGCUCGUGUUGUGAAAUGUUGGGUUAAGUCCCGCAACGAGCGCAACCCUUAUCCUUUGUUGCCAGCGGUCCGGCCGGGAACUCAAAGGAGACUGCCAGUGAUAAACUGGAGGAAGGUGGGGAUGACGUCAAGUCAUCAUGGCCCUUACGACCAGGGCUACACACGUGCUACAAUGGCGCAUACAAAGAGAAGCGAUCUCGCGAGAGCCAGCGGACCUCAUAAAGUGCGUCGUAGUCCGGAUUGGAGUCUGCAACUCGACUCCAUGAAGUCGGAAUCGCUAGUAAUCGUGAAUCAGAAUGUCACGGUGAAUACGUUCCCGGGCCUUGUACACACCGCCCGUCACACCAUGGGAGUGGGUUGCAAAAGAAGUAGGUAGCUUAACCUUCGGGAGGGCGCUUACCACUUUGUGAUUCAUGACUGGGGUGAAGUCGUAACAAGGUAACC